ensembl:lncRNA
GAGCAAUCGAGCGCAGAUCGAUAGAUAGCGUUCAUUGGCGCAUAGGACUCCUCUUGGGCCAAUCAGCACAUACGUUUUGGAGCAUAGUACAUGAAACAAGGAAGAAGCUCUUGCUUUGCCAGUGGCUGGCCUUGACCCAGAACGCCCAGACUGGUGUGACCACCAUGGAUUCGGCUGGGACAAAUACGGGAAUCCUAAUUGAGGAUAUUGAUUGGGAGAGCUCAGGGCUCUCUCAUAACUCUGCCAACACAGGUGUUACCGUGCCAGAAAUGGAAUGUCCAUUGAAGACCGAGAACUCUACGCCUUGCCAUUGAUCCCCUUUCUCAUUCAAAUAGUUUUGGAAAAUAUAUUUAUUUGACCACACUCGCACAUGCCUUGUACCUACUUCACCAUCAUUGACAGUCAUGCCUGUGCCAAUCAGAGGACUAAAGGCUUUUAAUAAUUCAUGAUUGCUUAAGUCCAGUCUAGGACCCCAUGUAUCCAGGCACCUUAUAGUCCACCAAAUUUUUUAAAUCGGACUUCUGUCUUGCUGACACAACCACAGGGAAGCGGGAAAGAACGUAUUGAAGGACAUCUUCUCUGACAAACAUUGUAAUGGUGCGAUGCACAUAUGGAAAUGCUUUUUGUGGUGUAACAUUCAAUGUGGCUAACAAUGAUUUAUGAUCAAAAAUAUCAAAUCAAUUAGCCAUGCACACUGGGUCAUUUAAUACACCCAUGAACAGUGAAUUGGGUUAACAUAUACAAACUGGAUUUGACAAAAAAUGAAAUAAAUGACUGCACAAAUAUCUUAUCUAUUACUAUUUGAGUCUGAAUGUACAGGUGCUGGUCAUAAAAUUAGAAUAUCAUUAAAAAAAAAAAUCCCAGUAAUUCCAUUCAAAAAGUGAACCUUGUAUAAUGUAUACAUUCAUUCCACACAGACUGAUAUAUUUCAUAUAUUUCUUUUAAUUUUGAUGAUUAUAACCGACAACUAAUGAAAAUCACAAAUUCAGUAUCUCAGAAAAUUAGAAUAUUAAUGAAGACCAAUACAAAAAAGGAUUUUUAGAAGAGUAUGAACAUGAAAAGUAUGAGCAUGUACAGCACUCAAUACUUAGUUGGGGCUCCUUUUGCCUGAAUUACUGCAGCAAUGCGGCAUGGCUUGGAGUCGAUCCGUCUGUGGCACUGCUCAGGUGUUAUGAGAGCCCAGGUUGCUCUGAUAGUGGCCUUCAGCUCUUCUGCAUUGUUUGGUCUGGCGUAUCACAUCUUCCUCUUCACAAUAACCAAUAGAUCUUCUAUAGGGUUAAGGUCAGGCGAGUUUGCUGGCCAAUUAAGAACAGGGAUAACGUGGUCCUUAAACCAGGUACUGGUAGCUUUGGCACUGUGUGUAGGUGCCAAGUCCUGUUGGAAAAUGAAAUCUGCAUCUCCAUAAAGUUGGUCAGCAGCAGGAAGCAUGAAGUGCUCUAAAACCUCCUGGUAGAAGGCUGCUUUGACCUUGGACCUCAGAAAACACAGUGGACCAACACCAGCAGAUGACAUAGCACCCCAAACCAUCACUGACUGUGGACAUUUUACACUGGACUUCAAGCAAUGUGGAUUCUGUGCCUCUCCUCUCUUCUUCCAGACUCUGGGACCUUGAUUUCCAAAGGAAAUGCAAAAUUUACUUUAAUCAGAGAACAUAACUUUGGACUACUCAGCAGCAGUCCAGUCCUCUCCCAGACGAGACGUUUCUGACGCUGUGUCUUGUUCAAGAGUGGCUUGACGCAGGGAAUGCGACAGCAGAAACCCAUGUCUUGCAUACGUCUGUGCGUGGUGGUUCUUGAAGCACUGACUCCAGCUGCAGUCCACUCUUUGUGAAUCUCCCCCACAUUUUUGAAUGGGUUUUGUUUCACAAUCCUCUUCAGGGUGCGAUUAUCCCUAUUGCUUGUACACUUUUUUCUACCACAUCUUUUCCUUCCCUUUGCCUCUAUUAAUGUGCUUGGACA